AUGGAAACCAUAAAUUUUUGGUUGAAUUACCUUGACAGCCAAGUGAAACUGGCCUUGGCAGAGAAUAAACAGCUCACCGAUGACUUGGUGGAGCUGCGUGGUCUGUACUUGCAGGACAUUGCUAAACACAUGCAUGCAAUAGAAGAGAUGGGCCAGUCCAUGAAGUUGACUCAUCAGGUGGUAAUGAUGCUCAGUGAGGAGAAUCAGAGGCUAAGGAAUGAUCGCCGUGGAAUCGAGGCUAAGAUGGACUCCAUGGAGGAGGAUAUCAAAGCGACUAUGAAUGAUGUUCACGAGAUGAGAGAAGCAUGGGGUUCGACAAUGCUUACAUGA
rnacentral:rRNA from 1 species